CGGAGGAUCCGAGCGUUAUCCGGAUUUAUUGGGUUUAAAGAGUGCGUAGGCGGCUUUUUAAAUCAGGGGUGAAAGACGGUGGCUCAACCAUCGCAGUGCCUUUGAUACUGAAGAGCUUGAAUACACUAGAGGUAGGCGGAAUGUGACAAGUAGCGGUGAAAUGCAUAGAUAUGUCACAGAACACCAAUUGCGAAGGCAGCUUACUAUGGUGUCAUUGACGCUGAGGCACGAAAGCGUGGGGGAUCAAACAGGAUUAGAUACCCUGGUAGUCCACGCCCUAAACGAUGAACACUCGAUGUUAGCGAUAUACAGUUAACGUCUAAGCGAAAGCGUUAAGUGUUCCACCUAGGGAGUACGCCCGCAAGGGUG
rnacentral:rRNA from 1 species